rnacentral:tRNA from 1 species
GGAAGAGUAAGCCGAAAGAUUCUGGGUAACGGCACUUGUCUUGAAAACAAGCAGUCACUUAACGGGCGUGUGGGUUCGAAUCCCACUUCUUCCGCCA